GCAAUUGUUGUCGUGCGAAUCGGUCUCGAAAAUUUUGAUGGUUCUAUCUACUCCAUUAGAACGAAAAAGAUAGCACGAUGAGCUUCUUUGCCAUCUCGUUCAUGCAUCUUUCGAAUAUGCGCUUCAUUUCUACAUAACCUCAUUAUAAACAAAAAAUACAAAGUAGCAUUCAUGAUUCAGUUCGGUCAGGUCUUCGGGUGUUUGUCUUUUUUCUCGUUUUUCACCAAGUACGCUCGUUUUUCACUAAGACUAAAGAAAAUAGUUUUUCAGCGUGUGAAAAUUCAUUGUAGUUGGUAAAAUAUUGCACAAAACCAACAAUAUACGUUUUUGUUUCGAUGGAGACUGCGAAGUUUUCAACUUUAUAGAUUCGGGGCGGAGUUGCAUUUGCUAUUGUUAAGCCUUACUACAUUAAAGCGUACAUAAACAGACCGCUGGAUGGCAAAACAAAAGUAUCAGCGGGAUAAAUUCACAUUUUUCGAGAAGCUAACGAACGUAUCAUCGGAGGAUAUUCCACAGGACACCAUGCGGGAAAAAAGUGUUGAACUUGAUCAUGGCAUUCGGUAAUUUAUUUGUUUUCGUGACACUUAUUCAGGACUUUUUUGAUAGUAUUGUUUACACCUGAUCUCCAUGAUAGUCCACCCUGGACACUAAUCCAGACACAUUAACCUGCCCAGAAACCAGUGUCAUGCAAACUCGUUCGAGUCCAAAUGCUUCCCGAGUUUCAAAGUUUUGCGAUCGUCUAAAUAUUUCAAAUUAAUGGUAACGAUAAACUUUGUCGGAUAGAAAAACUUUCAGUAUAGUAAUAGUCUGUAUCACCUGGCAAUCUGACUUCCUUGAAUAGCACAAACCGUCGUCUUUUUAUAUCCUUGCAUUAUGGAAAUUGUACAAAACUCGGAAGGAUACGACCAGCACCGAGCUAUAGGACGAUUGGUAGUGGUCGAAAAAUGCAAGUGUUACUCCGGAGCUUGAGGUCCAAUUGAACCACUAAUAAUCUUAUGGUUGCAUAAUUAUUUCGUGUUUAGUUUGUGUGGUGUAUUUACAUUUCUGAUUCUUGGACCUCCAAUUACCAAACUUUUUUUUUCUUUGCAGGAAAUGAACCACAACGGCAGCCGAUACACGUCGUUCGCCUUUGCUAGUGGAGGGAUCGCUGGCAGCGGCGGUGCCCGAGGGGAACUGAGCAGUGGAAAUUUGAGCAGAAAGCUGAGUAGUCCGAUGGCAGAGUCGACACAGCUGGACAGCAGCGGUAUCCGGGGGAAUCUUUACGGUAGUCCGGUAGGACAGGUUGGAGUUGGGAAAAGAAGCCUACCUCUCCGUUGCAAAAUAGCAGGACAAAUUUUAGAAGCAGCUGAAUGACGUCCGGGUCCAGUGUGGAUCGAUUGAGUGAUCCUAAGAUUUACACGGAGAGGAGGAUUGGUUAACCGAUUGGUAAAGUACCACGACAAAACGCAAUCGCCGUUAAAUAAGAGUCAAUCGAUGACUAGCCUGUACUCGAAGCCGGGUCAAUUUCAUAUGUGGUGGAGUCCGUGUUUCAGGCUGACACAAGGUGGAACGGGAGGGAGCGUUGCUCAUUCCGGCGGAACCUCAUCUGAAGAUGAUCCGAACACAUAGACACGAGGAUGAGAUUGAUGCGGAAAAUAGUGUGAUUGCGCCUUCGACAGAACUGGAUGCCGAUUGGAUUAAGAAACCAUGUAAGGAACUAUCGGAGGUUGAUUCAGGCGAAGCUGGUACAAAGCAAGCUCGGGAAAUUACAUACACGGCUUCGCCCCCGUGUCGAGGGUCGGCGAAUCAGCAGCUGCAGACGAAGAAAUUAUGUAGUAAAGCCUCGAGCCUGGUGAUGAACACUCCGAAAGUGGAACGCGUAGCGCCCCGACCGGCACGAUUAAAUGUGGAUGUCUUUCUCGACACCGGCAACAUUGAAUGCGACGGUUCCAUUUAGCAUGAUUGAAUCGAGCAAACCGGCAAAAUUAAGUAGAAUUGAUUCCGCUCCUUUGCCACAGAUUACGAGAAUUGUUCCGGAGUUUCAACCGCCUCUGAUGGAAUAUCCGCCACUAAAGCUAACGUUGUUUAACAAGAAAUAUAACGUCCUGGCGCUAAUAAAAAUUUUAAAGCAAAA